rnacentral:rRNA from 1 species
CCCUUAGAUGUUCUGGGCUGCACGCGCGCUACACUGAAGCUAUCAACACGUUUUCCCUCCCUGAGAAGGGCGGGUAACCUUUUGAAUCAGCUUCGAGGUAGGGAUCGGGGCUUGCAAUUGUUCCCCGUGAACCAGGAAUUCCUAGUAGACGCGAGUCAUAAGCUCGCAUCGAUUAAGUCCCUGCCCUUUGUACACACCGCCCGUCGCUACUACCGAUUGAACGUUUUAGUGAGGCAUUUGGACCGACGCAUCUCAGUUUAACCGCUGGUUUGUGUUGGAAAGACUUCCAAACUUGAGCGUUUAGAGGAAGUAAAAGUCGUAACA